UACGUAGGUGGCAAGCGUUGUCCGGAAUUAUUGGGCGUAAAGCGCGCGCAGGCGGUCUCUUAAGUCUGAUGUGAAAUCCCCGUGGCUUAACCACGGGCGGUCAUUGGAAACUGGGGGGACUUGAGUGCAGAAGAGAAGAGCGGAAUUCCACGUGUAGCGGUGAAAUGCGUAGAGAUGUGGAGGAACACCAGUGGCGAAGGCGGCUCUUUGGUCUGUAACUGACGCUGGGGCGCGAAAAGCGUGGGGGAGCGAACAGG
rnacentral:rRNA from 1 species